AGUUUUUGGGUUUUUAUUUUACGUUUUUUUUCGUUUUUCUGUACUGAACUGCACUGCUGUAUUUUAGAUAUGUGACCAAGAUGAGGUAGAGGUUCUUGAGUGUGAACAGAGGGUGAAUAUCCGCCAUCUUCUACAAACACUCGCUACAGCUCAGUUGUACUGUAUGGCGCUCUCACAUCUUUACAAGGAUAAUUUUAACUACGCAGAGAAUGGAGAGCUUAAAGAAUAUGAUUAUGAAUAUUAUGAUGAAGCUAAACCUGAUCAUCCUACACAUAGGUUCAUUGAUCCUCAUGCUCCUUCACAUAGACAGGAUCUGAAUCAUUAGAACUAUGGUUUCCAGCGAAAAAGG